AGUGAACGCUGGCGGUAGGCCUAACACAUGCAAGUCGAACGGCAGCACAGUAAGAGCUUGCUCUUACGGGUGGCGAGUGGCGGACGGGUGAGGAAUACAUCGGAAUCUACUUUUUCGUGGGGGAUAACGUAGGGAAACUUACGCUAAUACCGCAUACGACCUACGGGUGAAAGCAGGGGAUCUUCGGACCUUGCGCGAUUGAAUGAGCCGAUGUCGGAUUAGCUAGUUGGCGGGGUAAAGGCCCACCAAGGCGACGAUCCGUAGCUGGUCUGAGAGGAUGAUCAGCCACACUGGAACUGGGACACGGUCCAGGCUCCUACGGGAGGCAGCAGUGGGGAAUAUUGGACAGUGGGCGCAAGCCUGAUCCAGCCAUACCGCGUGGGUGAAGGAGGCCUUCGGGUUGUAAAGCCCUUUUGUUGGGAAAGAAAAGCAGCAGGUUAAUACCCCGCUGUUCUGACGGUACCCAAAGAAUAAGCACCGGCUAACUUCGUG
rnacentral:rRNA from 1 species